GUGCAGCAGUCGCGAAUCCUUUACAAUGCCUUCACGGGCGAUAAGGGGAUCCUGAGUGCUCUAGCAUUGCUAGAGCUUUUCCAGAGUGUAAAAAGCUCUGGGGAAUAAGUGGUGGGUAAGACGGGUGCCAGCCGCCGCGGUAAUACCCGCGCCACAAGUGGUGACCACGUUUAUUGGGUCUAAAGCGUUCGUAGCCGGCUCAAUAAAUUCUCGGUGAAAUCCUGUGUAAAACAUAGGAAGUGCCGAGAAGACGU
rnacentral:rRNA from 1 species